rnacentral:rRNA from 1 species
CCGACGAUGUCUACUUGGAGGUUGUGCCCUUGAGGCGUGGCUUCCGGAGCUAACGCGUUAAGUAGACCGCCUGGGGAGUACGGCCGCAAGGUUAAAACUCAAAUGAAUUGACGGGGGCCCGCACAAGCGGUGGAGCAUGUGGUUUAAUUCGAUGCAACGCGAAGAACCUUACCUGGUCUUGACAUCCACAGAAGAAUCCAGAGAUGGAUUUGUGCCUUCGGGAACUGUGAGACAGGUGCUGCAUGGCUGUCGUCAGCUCGUGUUGUGAAAUGUUGGGUUAAGUCCCGCAACGAGCGCAACCCUUAUCCUUUGUUGCCAGCGGUUAGGCCGGGAACUCAAAGGAGACUGCCAGUGAUAAACUGGAGGAAGGUGGGGAUGACGUCAAGUCAUCAUGGCCCUUACGACCAGGGCUACACACGUGCUACAAUGGCGCAUACAAAGAGAAGCGACCUCGCGAGAGCAAGCGGACCUCAUAAAGUGCGUCGUAGUCCGGAUUGGAGUCUGCAACUCGACUCCAUGAAGUCGGAAUCGCUAGUAAUCGUGGAUCAGAAUGCCACGGUGAAUACGUUCCCGGGCCUUGUACACACCGCCCGUCACACCAUGGGAGUGGGUUGCAAAAGAAGUAGGUAGCUUAACCUUCGGGAGGGCGCUUACCACUUUGUGAUUCAUGACUGGGGUGAAGUCGA